UACGUUCAUUUUGCGGUCAGCCGCAAAACGGAAGUAGGAGGAUAAUCAAUAUUUCCUUGUGGUAAGGGAAUUCAGCAUCCCGGACGGGAUCAAUUGAGAUAUCUACCGAAGGAACGCGUU
rnacentral:ncRNA from 10 species